AUGCGCAUCCUUGGGCAACAGCACCAAAAUGGUCAUCCUUGGUUAUGCCUUGGAGACUAUAAUGAGAUCCUAACAGGGGACGAAAAGAUGGGGGGUGAUGUCCGCCCUCAAAGGUUUAUGGACAACUUUCUGGCAGCUUUGGAGGCGUGUGAUUUAUGCGACAUUGGAUAUGAAGGAGACAAAUACACUUGGAGAAAUCACAGCAAGGAGGAACGCCUGGACAGAGCCACGGCCAAUGCAAAAUGGUGCGAAUGGUUCCCGGAAUUCAGUGUGAUCAACGGAGCUCCUCGCCACUCAGACCACAAACCGAUAAUC
rnacentral:rRNA from 1 species